rnacentral:tRNA from 1 species
GUUUAACUGUGGUGCAAUGGGUCAGUGUGUCUGGUGGUUAACCAGAAGGUUGGUGGUUUGAACCCACCCAGGGACA